rnacentral:rRNA from 1 species
UACGGAGGGGGCUAGCGUUGUUCGGAAUUACUGGGCGUAAAACGCACGUAGGCGGCUUUGUAAGUUAGAGGUGAAAGCCCAGGGCUUAACCCUGGAAUUGCCUUUAAGACUGCAUCGCUAGAAUUGUGGAGAGGUAAGUGGAAUUCCGAGUGUAGAGGUGAAAUUCGUAGAUAUUCGGAAGAACACCAGUGGCGAAGGCGACUUACUGGACACAUAUUGACGCUGAGGUGCGAAAGCGUGGGGAGCAAACAGG